AUUGAACGCUGGCGGCAUGCCUUACACAUGCAAGUCGAACGGCAGCACGGGAGCAAUCCUGGUGGCGAGUGGCGAACGGGUGAGUAAUAUAUCGGAACGUGCCCAGUCGUGGGGAUAACGUAGCGAAAGCUACGCUAAUACCGCAUACGAUCUAUGGAUGAAAGCGGGGGAUCGCAAGACCUCGCGCGAUUGGAGCGGCCGAUAUCAGAUUAGGUAGUUGGUGAGGUAAAGGCUCACCAAGCCGACGAUCUGUAGCUGGUCUGAGAGGACGACCAGCCACACUGGGACUGAGACACGGCCCAGACUCCUACGGGAGGCAGCAGUAGGGAAUUUUUGGGACAAUGGGCGCAAGCCUGAUCCAGCAAUGCCGCGUGCAGGAUGAAGGCCUUCGGUUGUAAC
rnacentral:rRNA from 1 species